AACACUGUUAACCUGCGGUACCUGCGGAAGGAUCAUUGAAGAACUUUUUGUGAUUUGAGGGGGGGGCAGGGCAGGGCGGGGGGGGGGCAGCCCAGCCCAGCCCAGCCCCGCCCUGCUCUCUUUCUCGAAUUACCAACCAACCAAUCUACAUGACUAGGAAAACAGACAAGCGGAGGGGGAAGCGCCUUGUUGUUGGCCUGGCUGGCCUGGCCCCUCCCGCAAACCAAAAGCUCUUGGCUG
rnacentral:misc_RNA from 1 species